rnacentral:rRNA from 1 species
GAUGAACGCUGGCGGCGUGCUCAACACAUGCAAGUCGAACGAUGAAGCCGGAGCUUGCUCUGGUGAAUUAGUGGCGAACGGGUGAGUAACACGUGAGUAACCUGCCCUUGACUCUGGGAUAACUGCGGGAAACUGUAGCUAAUACCGGAUACGACCCUCGGAGGCAUCUCCUGGGGGUGGAAAGAAUUUCGGUCAAGGAUGGACUCGCGGCCUGUCAGCUAGUUGGUGAGGUAAAGGCUCACCAAGGCGACGACGGGUAGCCGGCCUGAGAGGGUGACCGGCCACACUGGGGCUGAGACACGGCCCAGACUCCUCCGGGAGGCAGCAGUGGGGAAUGUUGCACAAUGGGCGCAAGCCUGAUGCAGCAACGCCGCGUGAGGGAUGACGGCCUUCGGGUUGUAAACCUCUUUUAGCAGGGAAGAAGCGAAAGUGACGGUACCUGCAGAAAAAGCACCGGCUAACUACGUGCCAGCCGCCGCUGUAA